rnacentral:rRNA from 1 species
UACGUAGGGUGCAAGCGUUGUCCGGAAUCAUUGGGCGUAAAGAGCUCGUAGGCGGUCUGUCGCGUCGGCUGUGAAAUCCCGGGGCUCAACCCCGGGCCUGCAGUCGAUACGGGCAGACUAGAGUUCGGUAGGGGAGACUGGAAUUCCUGGUGUAGCGGUGAAAUGCGCAGAUAUCAGGAGGAACACCGGUGGCGAAGGCGGGUCUCUGGGCCGAUACUGACGCUGAGGAGCGAAAGCGUGGGGAGCGAACAGG